rnacentral:rRNA from 1 species
CCUACGGGUGGCAGCAGUGGGGGAUAUUGCACAAUGGGGGAAACCCUGAUGCAGCGACGCCGCGUGGGUGAAGAAGUAUUUCGGUAUGUAAAGCCCUAUCAGCAGGGAAGAAAGAAGUCGUUACCUGACUAAGAAUCACCGGCUACCCACGUGCCAGCAGCCGCGGGAAUACGCAGGGGGCCAGCGUUACCCGGAUUCACUGGGUGUAAAGGGACCGUAGACGGCCGUGGAAGCCAGGAGUGAAAGCCCGGGGCCCAACCCGGGGACUGCUUCUGAAACUGUGCAGCUGGAGUGAGGGAGAGGGAGGCGGAAUUCCUGGUGUAGCGGUGAAAUGCGUAGAUAUCAGGAGGAACACCGGUGGCGAAGGCGGCCUGCUGGACCGCGACUGACGUUGAGGCUCGAAAGCGUGGGGAGCAAACAGGAUUAGAUACCCUAGUAGUC